rnacentral:tRNA from 1 species
GCCAGCAUAGCUCAGUUGGUAGAGCAGCUGAUUUGUAAUCAGCAGGUCGUCGGUUCGAUCCCGACUGCUGGCUCCA